rnacentral:rRNA from 1 species
AUUGAACGCUGGCGGCAUGCUUUACACAUGCAAGUCGAACGGUAACAGGUUAAGCUGACGAGUGGCGAACGGGUGAGUAAUGCAUCGGAACGUGCCCGAUCGUGGGGGAUAACGCAGCGAAAGCUGCGCUAAUACCGCAUACGAUCUGAGGAUGAAAGCGGGGGACCGUAAGGCCUCGCGCGAUCGGAGCGGCCGAUGUCAGAUUAGGUAGUUGGUGGGGUAGAGGCUCACCAAGCCGACGAUCUGUAGCUGGUCUGAGAGGACGACCAGCCACACUGGGACUGAGACACGGCCCAGACUCCUACGGGAGGCAGCAGUGGGGAAUUUUGGACAAUGGGCGCAAGCCUGAUCCAGCAAUGCCGCGUGCAGGAAGAAGGCCUUCGGGUUGUAAACUGCUUUUGUACGGAGCGAAAAGGCUUUCUCUAAUACAGGAGGCUGAUGACGGUACCGUAAGAAUAAGCACCGGCUAACUACGUGCCAGCCGCCGCCGUAA